GAUGAACGCUGGCGGCGUGCUUAACACAUGCAAGUCGAACGGGAAACCUUUUAUUGAAGCUUCGGCAGAUUUAGCUGGUUCCUAGUGGCGGACGGGUGAGUAACGCGUGGGUAACCUGCCUUAUACAGGGGGAUAACAGUCAGAAAUGGCUGCUAAUACCGCAUAAGCGCACAGAGCUGCAUGGCUCAGUGUGAAAAACUCCGGUGGUAUAAGAUGGACCCGCGUUGGAUUAGCUGGUUGGUGGGGUAACGGCCCACCAAGGCGACGAUCCAUAGCCGGCCUGAGAGGGUGAACGGCCACAUUGGGACUGAGACACGGCCCAGACUCCUACGGGAGGCAGCAGUGGGGAAUAUUGCACAAUGGGGGAAACCCUGAUGCAGCGACGCCGCGUGAAGGAAGAAGUAUCUCGGUAUGUAAACUUCUAUCAGCAGGGAAGAUAAUGACGGUACCUGACGAAGAAGCCCCGGCUAACUACGUG
rnacentral:rRNA from 1 species